rnacentral:rRNA from 1 species
AGUGAACGCUGGCGGUAGGCCUAACACAUGCAAGUCGAACGGCAGCACAGGAGAGCUUGCUCUCUGGGUGGCGAGUGGCGGACGGGUGAGGAAUACAUCGGAAUCUACUUUUUCGUGGGGGAUAACGUAGGGAAACUUACGCUAAUACCGCAUACGACCUACGGGUGAAAGCAGGGGACCUUCGGGCCUUGCGCGAUUGAAUGAGCCGAUGUCGGAUUAGCUAGUUGGCGGGGUAAAGGCCCACCAAGGCGACGAUCCGUAGCUGGUCUGAGAGGAUGAUCCGCCGCACUGGAACUGAGACACGGUCCUGACUCCUACGGGAGGCAGCAGUGGGGAAUAUUGGACAAUGGGCGCAAGCCUGAUCCAGCCAUACCGCGUGGGUGAAGAAGGCCUUCGGGUUGUAAAGCCCUUUUGUUGGGAAAGAAAUCCAGCUGGCUAAUACCCGGUUGGGAUGACGGUACCCAAAGAAUAAGCACCGGCUAACUUCGUGCCAGCAGCCGCCGUAA